CCUACGGGUGGCAGCAGUGGGGGAUAUUGCACAAUGGGGGGAACCCUGAUGCAGCGACGCCGCGUGGGUGAAGGAGUGCUUCGGCAUGUAAAGCCCUAUCGGCAGGGAAGAAGCAAGACGGUACCUGACUAAGAAGCACCGGCUAAAUACGUGCCAGCAGCCGCGGUAAUACGUAUGGUGCAAGCGUUAUCCGGAUUUACUGGGUGUAAAGGGAGCGCAGGCGGCACGGCAAGCCUGAUGUGAAAGCCCGCGGCCCAACUGCGGGACUGCUUUGGAAACUGCCCGGCUAGAGUGCUGGAGAGGUAAGCGGAAUUCCUAGUGUAGCGGUGAAAUGCGUAGAUAUUAGGAGGAACACCAGUGGCGAAGGCGGCUUACUGGACAGUAACUGACGUUGAGGCUCGAAAGCGUGGGGAGCAAACAGGAUUAGAUACCCUGGUAGUC
rnacentral:rRNA from 1 species